rnacentral:rRNA from 1 species
UACGUAGGGGGCUAGCGUUGUCCGGAAUCAUUGGGCGUAAAGCGCGUGUAGGCGGCCCGGUAAGUCCGCUGUGAAAGUCGGGGGCUCAACCCUCGAAUGCCGGUGGAUACUGUUGGGCUAGAGUACGGAAGAGGCGAGUGGAAUUCCUGGUGUAGCGGUGAAAUGCGCAGAUAUCAGGAGGAACACCAAUUGCGAAGGCAGCUCGCUGGGACGUCACUGACGCUGAGACGCGAAAGCGUGGGGAGUCAAACAGG